GGGUGUAUAGCUCAGUGGUAGAGCACGUGCUUAGCAUGCAUGACAUCCUAGGUUUAAUCUCCAGUACCUCCA
rnacentral:tRNA from 1 species